ACGAACGCUGGCGGCGUGCUUAACACAUGCCAGUCGAACGGUGAAGCGCCUUCCUUUUUGGUGGGUGUGGAUGAGUGGCGAACGGGUGAGUAACACGUGAGUAACCUGCCCCCUUCUUCUGGAUAACCGCAUGAAAGUGUGGCUAAUACGGGAUAUUCUGGGUCUGUCGCAUGAUGGGUCUGGGAAAGAUAUUGUUUCGGUGGGGGAUGGGCUCGCGGCCUAUCAGCUUGUUGGUGGGGUGAUGGCCUACCAAGGCGGUGACGGGUAGCCGGCCUGAGAGGGUGGACGGUCGCACGGGGACUGGGACACGGCCCAGACUCGUACGGGAGGCAGCAGUGGGGAAUAGUGCACGAUGGGCGCAAGCCUGAUGCAGCGACGCCGCGUGAGGGAUGGAGGCCUUCGGGUUGUGAACCUCUUUCGCCAGUGAAGCAGGCCUGCCUCGUUUGUGGGUGGGUUGACGGUAGCUGGAUAAGAAGCGCCGGCUAACUACGUG
rnacentral:rRNA from 1 species